rnacentral:rRNA from 1 species
UACGUACAAGCAGUGGGAGCCCCACCACUAAGCCAGUGGUGAACUCCACAUACGCAUCCUUUGCUGAGGAUACGGUUAACGGAGCGAAAGCGACGUUCAACCUCAAAAGAAGCAGAGGGGGCUUAGUGGUGGGGUGACUGCGUACCUUUUGUAUAAUGGGUCAGCGACUUAUAUUCUGUAGCAAGGUUAACCGAAUAGGGGAGCCGGAGGGAAACCGAGUCUUAAUUGGGCGUUAAGUUGCAGGGUA